GCGUAUUAGAAGUCACGUUGGGGGCUGAGGGCGAUACCAGGUAACGUCACUUACCGGAAGAGCGCCGGCAGCUGCUGAAGUUGUUUCACGUCAAAACAAUCCGGAAGACGUUGCACUGUGUCCGAAUAAACUGUAGCUGCAGUUCGAGGGCGGCAUUGACACACGUUUACAUAUCACUGUGCUGCUGUUUUAUUUUACAGUAAUUAAUGUGGUUGGAUGAGGAAUCUCCAGCGGGACAUACGCAGUGAAAAUCUGUGUCCCACUCCGAAAGCGUCCGAAAGCCUCCGAAAGCAGCCUCGUGUUUCAGUCUGAGUUGAUGUAAACAUCAGAGCUGAGUUGCUGCUGUUCACACUAGACCCGCCUGAGUCAUCAUGGGCAAUGGAAUGAAUAAGGUCAUCGAUGGGCUCUACCUGGGGAAUAUAAGAGAUUCGGAAAACAAAGAAAGUCUGUCCAAGAAUGGCAUCACCCACAUCCUGUCUGUGUACAACAAUGCUAAGCCUGUGUUUGAGGAUAUGACAUAUCUGUGUAUUAAUGCGGCUGAUGCUUCCAACCAGAACCUAUUCCAGCAUUUUAAAAAAUGCAUCGGUUUCAUCCACCAAUGUCGUCUGAAUGGCGGAGCUUGCCUCGUCCACUGCCUGGCAGGUGUGUCUCGCAGCACCACCAUGGUGGUGGCCUACAUGAUGACCGUGACCACCUACAACUGGGAGGAGUGUCUGUCUGCCGUCAAAGCUGUUCGCUCCUUCGUGGGCCCCAACUCUGGCUUCCAGCAGCAGCUGCGGGAGUACCAGGAGACAUGCCUACCAGAGUACAGACAGUGGUUAAAAUCCAGUUUCCGUCCAUGUCCGUUCAACGACCAGGAGCAGGUGGCUGCCCUGCUCAGCCAGUACCUGGAGCAGCAGGCCAGUCAGAGGAGAGGAAGAGAGGACCAGGGCUGGAUAAAUCAGGACAUAAACGUCAGUACCCUGCCGUCUCACUCAGGUGAUCGUGAAGGUAGCAGCUGAAGCCUUGGGCCUACGUCUGCUGCCCCAGAGUCCCGGCCCACGUCUUCUAGGAGUGGCAGGGGGCGGGGNACGCUGUAACGCUCUAAUUCCAAAUUAACCUCAAUGUUAUACUGCAUAUCACUGAAAGCACAGAAUGAAACAUAUCCUCAUGUAUAAGCCAAGACGUUUUACUUUGACACUUUAAGCCAUGGAGUUUGGUUUGGAAUUGUACUACAGACUCCCGUGUCACCAACAGUACCUCCCGUUCCCUCUUUCACCAGAGUAUAGCCACAGUAUGAGUGCUCACGGAAGCCUUACUCUAAUCACCUCAGCACCUUAGCCAUGAUUAUUACACCACUGUAUGUCCAUGUGAUCACAGUGCACCUGCAAUAUGCUGUUUGUUAUUAAAGCCUCAAGGUUUAAUGGUGUCUUAAAGGAACAGUCAGCCUUUUCGCAAGCAAAUAUACAACCAUUUUUAUAGUGUCAACGUAAACACAGACCAUAUAUAAGAAAUGGGCGUUGGUAUCCUGUUGCUAAUGUGGAACUAGAAGAAAAUGCUCAGAACUGGUUCCUGGUUUUGUUCAGAAGACAUUGUGUUUAUUUAGACAGUUUAUUUAAAUGAUGAUGUUGUUGAGUGGGAUGGAUAAUCAAUUCUAAUACUUCUCUUUGGCUAACCUUUACCUUUAUAAUCGGCUGAUUUUAAAUUCCAAGGUAAUUUUUAACCAUCUUUUGACUACAUCACUUUAGGCUGUUUUAAUAAAAUUGCAAUAAAUAUUGCCCUAUAUAUUAUUGUCACUAAUUUCCUUUAGAUAUCACAAAUCACAUGUAAGGUUAAUUUCUUACAAUCUCUGGCCAAUUGCAAACAGCCACUGUUGAUAUAUUUUGGAUGACAUGUUGCUAUCCCUGAGUUAAACCUUAUAUAAUUUGUGAUACAGUUGGCUCUAUGUAAUUGACUUUUUGCUAACUGUGCCAACAUGAUGCUAUCCUUUUGUACUUUUUAACCAUUUCCUGCUAAAUUGUAUUUCUAUUUUUCUCUAAGUUUCUAACAUUCACCCACGCUUAGGCUACGUGAAAGCUCUUUGGUGGCUAACGGUUGGCUAACACUGGAACGAGGCUGCGGGCAUCACAGUUAGGAGUUUUGCCACUGUCUUCCACCAGAAGCUCCGGUUCAGGAUGAUCCCCUUACAGGCCAUGAAGAACAUGCUGGAGAUGGAGCGCUUCCCUUGUCUCUGAUCUAGGGUUUUUGUUGGACUUGGCAGAAGAUCCUACACGAACAGGACCAGGAAGUCCGUCUGUUGACUGUAAGACCCCAGACCUGGAAAUUCCUUCUCUUCCCUCCCCCACCUUACUCUGUCCACGCUCCACGAGGUGCUAGUUUUGUUUUCUCAGGGUUUGGCUAUGACACUGUCAUUAAACAAGUCUGUGUCCUGAUGCAACUGUCCUUAUUAGGAGUUAGUCACAUGACGAAGUCCUAAUAAGUACAGUGGAAGGUUCUUCUUUCUGCUGGUCUGUAUCAUUAAUCCUGUAGAUUCCAGUGAACCAAUGUCUCUCUGGUGAGAGAAACCUUGAAAUCAGCAGCUUCACCUCGCGGUGCAAUCACCAACUCAUCUCCCUCCGACGGUGUCAUCGGUCCAAAGGUAGAAUGUCAUAUCCAUAAAUCCAGGCUUCAGGUGUAACUGAAGGUACAAAUGAAACUGUUUUGAUUUUAUCGACUGUAUCCUUGAACUUUUCAACCAUUUCCCCGGUGCAGCAUCAACCUUAACCUUAACUAUCAAAGUCUCUCUGAUGUACUCGGGUUUAAAAAGAUUAACUUCAUUUAGAAUAUUCCUCCUUGUCUUUGUCUUCUUCUGAUGACAUAUAUUUCACAUUAUCCCCAAACAUUACUCAUUAAUUAUUCACUGUUAAGAAAAAUCUAGAAUUCAGAGUAAUAGACUUAAAGUCUUAAAUGAUCACAAUUUAAUAGAUUUGAUGUUGGACCUACGUAGAACAGCAGUUAGACAGAAACGUAUUUCUUUUGAGAGUUUACUCUCGUCUAAACAUAAUCACAAUAAUAAUUAUUCACUCAAAGUGAUAUUAUGUUGUCAACACAUCGUAAAUGCAACAGCAUGUGAUUCAUGUCUCAGUCAUGGCGUACUCCAAAAAAAUUAAUUCCCUCAGUUCCUCCUUUUUUUUCCCCUGUCCUUUCCUGGUGACAACUCCUAGUAGUACACAGAGAGGGAUUACACCAAAGGCAGACUUUUACUACCAAGGUGAUGCAGCAGAGCAAAUGUGUGUUUAAACAUAUACAUUAUAAUUGUUCAGAGAAUCACUCUACAGCAUGAUGAGAUUUAAUGUCUCUCAUUUGUCCACUCCACAGUGUCCGUCUUUAGAACCCACACAGGCUGCCACCGUUAAACAUGUGGUUCCUCUGAGGCUCGAACCCCGAACCUUCUGCGUGUAAGGCUGCGUGUGUGAUAAUCACUACAGUAUGGAACCAUUAGUUAUAAACAUUUGGUCUUUUAUUGUAGGUUCUCCUCCAAGGAACUUGAUCAGAGGGUUGCUGGUUCCAAAACCCAGCGCUGGCGGCGUUGUGGUGCAUCAAACUGAUGGAGCUGCACCUGUUCACUCCACUGUUUCUCACAAUGACCAGUUGGUGGUGGGACAAAACUCCCCUCGACUCAGCCCGGCCCAGCUCACCUUGUGACUGCUGACAGAUGAGUUCAGAGGACGU